AGCGACCCCAGGUCAGGCGAGACUACCCGCAGAGGGUAA
rnacentral:rRNA from 1 species